rnacentral:lncRNA from 1 species
AAUAUUAUGAGUUGGGUUUAAUUCUAGGAUUUUAUUGACUACAUUCAGUGUUCAAUGCGAUUUGGGAUCAAUUUAUUGGGUUUAAAAUUAGUAUUCUGAAUAUGAGCUCUUAAAACUUAGAAUCUGUUGUCAUUGUUUGAACUAAGUUUGCUUGCCUGUUUUGCUAUGUUGUUUUAAUGCCAUGUUCAGUAUUGGAAAUUUGAUUGAUAGUUGAGCAGAAUUGUUUAUUAAGUUGAACUGAUUUUGCUUUGUUGGCUCUUUGCUUGGUUAACAUCUUUGAGGUGAUAGUAAGCUGCAUAACAUUUGCAGACUAACAACCAUUUGGUUUGCAUUUUGUUAUUUUGUUUUUCU